AACGCUAGCUACAGGCUUAACACAUGCAAGUCGAGGGGUAACGAGAGGAAAGCUUGCUUUCCUUGUCGACGACCGGCGCACGGGUGAGUAACGCGUAUCCAACCUGCCCCCAACUAGGGAAUAACCUUGCGAAAGUAAGACUAAUACCCUAUAGUUUCCUCAGAUGUCAUCUGACGAGGAAUAAAGAUUUAUCGGUUGUGGAUGGGGAUGCGUCUGAUUAGCUUGUUGGCGGGGUAACGGCCCACCAAGGCAACGAUCAGUAGGGGUUCUGAGAGGAAGGUCCCCCACAUUGGAACUGAGACACGGUCCAAACUCCUACGGGAGGCAGCAGUGAGGAAUAUUGGUCAAUGGGCGGAAGCCUGAACCAGCCAAGUAGCGUGCAGGAUGACGGCCCUAUGGGUUGUAAACUGCUUUUAUACAGGAAUAAAGUUAGCCACGUGUGGUUAUUUGUAGGUACUGUAUGAAUAAGGACCGGCUAAUUCCGUGCCAGCAGCCGCGGUAAUACGGAAGGUCCAGGCGUUAUCCGGAUUUAUUGGGUUUAAAGGGAGCGUAGGCCGUCUGUUAAGCGUGUUGUGAAAUGUAGAUGCUCAACAUCUGAAUUGCAGCGCGAACUGGCAGACUUGAGUGUGCGCAACGUAGGCGGAAUUCGUGGUGUAGCGGUGAAAUGCUUAGAUAUCACGAAGAACUCCGAUUG
rnacentral:rRNA from 1 species